UACGUAGGGUGCUAGCGUUGUUCGGAAUCAUUGGGCGUAAAGCGCGUGUAGGCGGUUAGUUAAGUCGGGUGUGAAAUCCCUGGGCUCGACCGAGGAAGUGCAUCCGAAACUAAUUAGCUAGAGAAUGGUAGAGGGAGGUGGAAUUCCGUGUGUAGAGGUGAAAUUCGUAGAUAUACGGAGGAAUACCGGUGGCGAAGGCGGCCUCCUGGACCAUUUCUGACGCUGAGACGCGAAAGCGUGGGGAGCAAACAGG
rnacentral:rRNA from 1 species